rnacentral:rRNA from 1 species
UAAUUAAGCGGAGGAAAAGAACUAACCAGGAUUCCCUAGUAACGGCGAGUGAAGCGGGAAGAGCUCAACUUGAAAAUCUGGGUCGUUUUACGRCCCCGAAUUGUAGUCUAAAGAAGUGCAGCCAUCGGCCGACGCGAGACAAGUCCCUUGGAAAAGGGCGCCCCAGAGGGUGACAGUCCCGUACAUGCUUGCGUGGGUCCGUCUACGGCGUAUUUUCGACGAGUCGAGUUGCUUGGGAUUGCAGCUCAAAGUGGGUGGUAAAUUCCAUCUAAGGCUAAAUAUCGGUGGGAGACCGAUAGCGAACAAGUACCGUGAGGGAAAGAUGCAAAGAACUUUGAAAAGAGAGUUAAAGAGUGCCUGAAAUUGCUGAAAGGGAAGGAAAGGAAACCAGUGUAAUGCUGUGGUAUUUCCCCGCUGGACAUUGGACUGCGGUUGUGCCAUGGCGUUGGUCAAGAUGGGUUUGACUCGCAGGAUUAGGGUGUGAGGAAGGUGGUUCGCACUUCGGUGUGAAUGUUAUAUCCUUGCACCUUUGCUGUGGGUUGGACCGAGGUCAACCUUGCGCCUCUGGCUGAGCUCUGCUCAAGCAAGGUAUGGAUCUUGACGAAUGUUUCUUCGCCGUCA